AAUCCAUCUGGCCCCUGCCCUGGCCCUGCCAGGGCCCCAUAAAUCCCUUUCCCUGCCCUUUCGCACCUAAUCCAAGAGCUCUCCUAAGGGGAGGAGUCAUAGCUAUGCCCACUCCAUUGGCUCUGCGCAGGGCUUCUCCAGCCGUCAUGCCACUGGACAGGUAAAGUGAAGGUGGCAGACAGAUCCAUGAGCUGAGCUCAGCGACACGGGCACGUUUCUCUUUUACAACCUGAAUCUCUAAAUCACCCGUGUCUCUCGGCAAGCUGAGGAUGUGGCGAGAAGCUGUUAAUAAUAGAUACAAGUUUCUGUCUGGGAACGAAUUGCUUAAGACGGUCCCGGUGGACGUUUGUCUUUGUCACGGAGAAAACCACCGUGGAGGGGAAGAGUCUGGCCUGAAGGGGGCAGUGUCUCUCUAGUUUGGGCAGCAACCAUUGGCAAGAGGAGAGAAUUCAGAGCUGGAAGAACCCCCAGAAAAUAAUGGAGCCCACUUUCUCUUUUUACAGAGGGGGAAACAGAGGCCCAAAGGUUAGGACAGGUUUGCCCAAGGUGACACACUAAGAGGCAGAGCCAGGAUUUGUGGUAUAGUGGAAAUUGGAAAGAACGCUGGGAAAGAUCCUGCUUCGAAUCCCAGCUCUGUCGCUUGCUUUCUGGGUGUUUUGGGGACAAGUCAUUUGACUUCUCUGGAACUGGACUUGUUCAUCUGAAAAAUAAAGAAGAGACCAGUGGACUGCA